ensembl:ncRNA T21B6.11 ncRNA
AGUGCUUUUUUGCAAACGGGGGCCUUCUUUUCAACGGCCUCCGCUAGACAUUAUGGCAGUUUGUAGCGAUUUGGGAAACCGCCAACACCAUAUUAUAUCGUAAAAAAUGCGGAGGCUACUAGUACGGUGGAACAUAC